AAUAAAAUGUGUACUAAAAUGUUUAGGAAUGACCUGUACCAACAUCUGUAAUUUACUUUAAAGUGCAUAAAACCAUCAGCUGGACUUAUGGAUGGACACAGGGAUGGCUGGAUGGUUGGGGGAGGUGUGUAGUUAAGCAAAGAUGGCAAAAUGUGAAUUAGACUCUAGGUGUGUAAUUAGAAAAUAUUUUCUUCGUAAAACUAAACCAAGCAGAAUUACAGUGUAGGGGUUAAGAGGGGGAACUUUAAAGUCAAAUAAUCAGGGUUGGAUUCCUGGCUUUAGUACUUACUGGCUGUGUGACUUUGGGUAAGUGACUUAACUGCUCUCAGCAUAACCUAGUUGCAGUGUGCUUGAUUUCUUUUAAGCAAAUCAUUUUCACUCUAUAAAACUUUUGCACACCGUUGUGUUUUUUGUGCUUUUUUUUUUUAAGACACCAGUGCUUGAGGUUAAUAUGCUAUUCUGAUUGCUUCCAUUUUCUUCCACUCAAUAUUUUCCCGAGUGCUAAUAAUCAUGGGCAAAUGUCUUAAAUGACUUUUUUCCCUGCUUGGAUCUGCAUUUUUGAGGGUUUUCUAGAACUCCUGAUCUUCUUGAUAUUCUGAUGCUUCCUACUGGCACAUAGUAGGUGUUCAGUAAAUAUGUGUGGAAUGAGUGGAUGAGCCAAUAGCAUGCAGAUCUUUCAAGGCUCUUCUUAACCUGCAUUCAGCAAUUAUCCAGGGUGUUCCAAUUCUCUUUCACCUGGAAUAUUUAAUGAGGAGCCAAAUGUUGGAUUCACUUGUGUUCUGUAGAGAGCUGCCUGGAUUUUCCACUUGACUGCUAUGGACUGGCCAGCCAUGGGAGAGACCCUGGGCAGCUGGGUCUCACUUCUAACUGACCUUGCCUACCCAGCCCCAACCCCAAAGAUGCUGGGACUGUAUCCUAGUGGGUUACCUUGGCAACCUCACAAUGUCAUCUGUUAGAAUGUCCUAGGGCGGCAGCUUUUAAUUCUAUCACAGCGGUCUCAUCGGGGGUCAUGUAAUAGUGCUGUUUUUUCUCUGCUCACACUUCCUCCCCCUGUGAUUUAACACUAAGUACUCGGGGAGGAGCUGAACACGGGAAAAACCAAGCUAUUACUGCAUGACAGGUCACAGAUGGCCCCAGAACUGGGGUCCCGAGUGUUCACAGUCAAUAAGACGCAGGUCCCAAGCUAAUGGGGAAGCUGGAUCUCCUCACACCCCCUGUGGAAAGAAGAGGAGUUAAGCCAGCCUAGGCAAGUGUAAGAAGCUGCUGUGGCCAGACUGCACGAUUCUUGUAAAAGCUCAGUUAAAGGAACCCCCCGCUGGAAUAAUUCUUUCUUGGCCUCAGCAGCACCACCCCACUCUGGAGAUG
rnacentral:lncRNA from 10 species